UGCCCCAACAUAUCAAAAAGCACUUCAAUUGCCUCCUCAAACCUCCCUUCUAUUGCAAGACUACAAAUCAAAAUCAUGUAAGUACUCCCACUGGGCACCAAUAGUUUACCCUUCAUUUCCUUAUAAAACCCUAGACCCUGCUCCACUCUCCCCUUCUCACACAACCCCUUCACCACAUAACUAUAGGAAUAUGCAUUCGGGUAGCAUCCAUACAAACCCAUUUCGCGAAAAACUCUAAUCGCCUCAUCAACCUCUAGACAAGUAGCAUAAGCCUUGACGAUCAUAUUCAAAACAAAAGUAUCCGGUAUCACACCGGAGGCCUUCAUUUGCUUUGUCAGAGACUUAACAGCAUGUAAAUAGACAUAGCAAACAUGUAACUUGUUAAAUCUUCUAAGCAACGAAUUCAGCAACAAUGUAUAGGUUUCAAGCGUGGGCUUACAAUCAUCCGACUUCAACAUUUUUUUAUACACAUCAAAAGCACGGUUGAACAGGAACUUACGAUUGCAACAAAAACGAAUCAUGGAAUUGUAGAGAGCAACGCUCAUAUCACAAGCGCCGGCCAUUACCUCUUCUACUAGAGUUUCCGCGUGACGGUAUCGCCUACCGUCGAUGAGGGUUUUGAUCAUUGUGAGGUAG
rnacentral:misc_RNA from 1 species